rnacentral:misc_RNA from 1 species
GUGAAUCAUCGAAUCUUUGAACGCACAUUGCGCCCGCCAGUAUUCUGGCGGGCAUGCCUGUUCGAGCGUCAUUUCAACCCUCAAGUCCCCUGUGGACUUGGUGUUGGGGACCGGCGACACACCGGCUGUUUCAUUACAGUUGGUCCGCCGCCCCCUAAAUGACUUGGCGGCCUCGUCGCGGCCCUCCUCUGCGUAGUAGCACACACCUCGCAACAGGAGCCCGGCGAAUGGCCACUGCCGUAAAACCCCCCAACUUCUUUUUUAGAGUUGACCUCGAAUCAGGUAGGAAUACCCGCUGAACUUAAGCAUAUCAAUAAGCGGAGGA